CGAGCACCUCUUACACACCUUACACACACAUACCCCACCUCACAGACCACACGCACGUGCACACACGCCACACAUACACCUCACACAGGACACAGACACGCAACACACACAUGCAAGAUAGCAAACAUACAACAAACACACCCCUCACACACACCCCUCACACACACCCCUCACACACACCCCUCACACACACCCCUCACACACACCCCUCACACACACCCCUCACACACACCUCACACACACCCUCACACACACCCCUCACGCCCCUCACACACACACCCCUCACACACACCCCUCACACACACCCCUCACACACACCUCACACACACCCCUCACACACACCCCUCACACACACCCCUCACACACACCUCACACACACCCCUCACACACACCCCUCACACACACCUCACACCCCUCACACACACCUCACACACACCCUCACACACACCCUCACACACACCCCUCACACACACACCUCACACCCCUCACACACACACCCCUCACACACACCCCUCACACACCCCUCACACACACCCCUCACACACACCUCACACCCCUCACACACACACCCCUCACACACACCCUCACACACACACCCCUCACACACACCCCUCACACACCCCUCACACACACACCUCACACCCCUCACACACACACCUCACACACACCCCUCACACACACACCCCUCACACACACCCCUCACACACACCCCUCACACACACCCCUCACACACACCUCACACACACCCCUCACACACACCCCUCACACACACCUCACACCCCUCACACACACCUCACACACACCCUCACACACACCUCUCACACACACCCCUAACACACACACCCCUCACACACACCCCUCACACACACCCCUCACGCCCCUCACACACACACCCCUCACACACACCCCUCACACACACACCCCUAACACACACCCCUCACACACACCCCUCACACACACCCCUCACACACACCCCUCACACACACCCCUCACACACACCUCACACACACCCCUCACACACACCCCUCACACACACACCUCACACACACCUCACACCCCUCACACACACCCCUCACACACACCCCUCACACACACCCCUAACACACACACCCCUCACACACACCCCUCACACACACCCCUCACGCCCCUCACACACACACCCCUCACACACACCCCUCACACACACACCCCUAACACACACCCCUCACACACACCCCUCACACACACCCCUCACACACACACCUCACACACACCCCUCACACACACCUCACACACACCCCUCACACACACCCCUCACACACACACCUCACACACACCUCACACCCCUCACACACACCCCUCACACACACCUCACACACACCCCUCACACACACACCUCACACACACCUCACACACACCUCACACCCCUCACACACACCUCACACACACCCUCACACACACCCUCACACACACCCCUCACACACACCCCUCACACACCCCUCACACACACCCCUCACACACACCCCUCACACACACACCCCUCACACCCCUCACACACACACCCCUCACACACACCCCUCACACACACACACCUCACACACACCCCUCACACACACCCCUCACACACACCCCUCACACACACCCCUCACACACACCCUCACACACACCCCUCACACACACCCCUCACACACACACCCCUCACACACACCCCUCACACACACACUUCACACCCCUCACACACACCCCUCACACACACACUUCACACCCCUCACACACACCCCUCACACACACCCCUCACACACACACCUCACACACACACCUCACACACAUACCUCACACACACCUCACACACACCCCUCACACACACACCUCACACACACACCUCACACCCCUCACACACACACCCCUCACACACACACCUCACACCCCUCACACACACCCCUCACAUACCUUAUUAUAUUUAUCACACACACAACUACACACUCCCCAUAGACACUACAACUGCACAUACUGCACAAUCUCACAAGCCACAAACACCUUAUACACACCACACACACACACGCCACACACCUCAUACCACGCACCCCUCACAUGCACAUCACGCAUCCCUUGGACACCUCACACACUCCGCACACUCUCUCGUCUUCAUGUUAAAAAGCAUUUGCUUUUGCCUCAUUGCUUCCACACUG
ensembl:lncRNA